rnacentral:rRNA from 1 species
CGUGUAGGCGGCCUCUUAAGUCUGAUGUGAAAGCCCGGGGCUUACCCCCGGAAGGGCAUUGGAAACUGGGAGGCUAGAGUACCGGAGAGGAAGGUGGAAUUCCUGGUGUAGCGGUGAAAUGCGUAGAUAUCAGGAGGAACACCGGUGGCGAAGGCGGCCUUCUGGACGGAUACUGACGCUGAGACGCGAAAGCGUGGGGAGCAAACAGGAUUAGAUACCCUGGUAGUCCACGCCGUAAACGAUGGGCACUAGGUGUUCGGGGUAUUGACCCCCUGAGUGCCGCAGCUAAGCAUUAAGUGCCCGCCUGGGGACUACGGCCGCAAGGUUAAA